rnacentral:misc_RNA from 1 species
UCCGAGUUGACCCCGGCAGUCUCCUAUGAGUCCCCACCAUCACGUGCUGGCAACAUAGAACGAGGGUUGCGCUCGUUGCGGGACUUAACCCAACAUCUCACGACACGAGCUGACGACAACCAUGCACCACCUGUGAACCGGCCCCAAAGGGGAAACCACAUUUCUGCGGCGGUCCGGUCCAUGUCAAGCCUUGGUAAGGUGGGGAUGACGUAAUGGAAGCAAGCU